AUGAACGCUGGCGGCGUGCCUAAUACAUGCCAGUCGAGCGAACAGAUGAGGAGCUUGCUCCUCUGACGUUAGCGGCGGACGGGUGAGUAACACGUGGAUAACCUACCUACAAGACUGGGAUAACUUCGGGAAACCGGAGCUAAUACCGGAUAAUAUAUUGAACCGCAUGGUUCAAUAGUGAAAGACGGUUUUGCUGUCACUUAUAGAUGGAUCCGCGCCGCAUUAGCUAGUUGGUAAGGUAACGGCUUACCAAGGCAACGAUGCGUAGCCGACCUGAGAGGGUGAUCGGCCACACUGGAACUGAGACACGGUCCAGACUCCUACGGGAGGCAGCAGUAGGGAAUCUUCCGCAAUGGGCGAAAGCCUGACGGAGCAACGCCGCGUGAGUGAUGAAGGUCUUCGGAUCGUAAAACUCUGUUAUUAGGGAAGAACAAAUGUGUAAGUAACUAUGCACGUCUUGACGGUACCUAAUCAGAAAGCCACGGCUAACUACGUG
rnacentral:rRNA from 1 species